GUGGAACUUGGUCCGAAUUGCUCUGGAAGCUGACUGAUGCUACUCAGUCCAGUAGAAGAUGCUCAUGCCCUGAGAUCCGGAAAUCCCAUUUCUAGGAUCCCUCCACAGCAUGGCUGACGAGUGGAGUAUGUCUGCACCCAGGAUCCGAAACCCCAAACCCAGGCCACCAAAAUGGAGCAUGGAACUUUCAACUACUCGGCAACAGGGCCACCAGGAAAGAGCCUCUUCUUAAUUCUUCUACUGGCUUUCUUGGGAUUUGAGCGGUAGGACUGUGCUCAAACAAUUGGCCUGCUUUUUUAGAAACAUGUAAAUCCAAAACUCCAGGGUGAAGGCAGUUAAUCUCAGUAUGCCUGGUCUCUCUCUGGAUGAUUUCUUUCCAGAUUACUUUGGUAGAGAAAUCAGAUUUCUCAGAAAGUAUAUUCACUUGAUAUUGAAGAAAAAACAAAAGGAAAACACACCUACAAAAGUAUGCAGCUGAAUCAUUUAUUGAUUAAAUUUCCUAAUAAAACAUCCAAAUCCAAAUUGCC
rnacentral:lncRNA from 1 species